rnacentral:rRNA from 1 species
ACGAACGCUGGCGGCGUGCUUAACACAUGCAAGUCGCACGGAAAGGCCCUGCUUUUGUGGGGUGCUCGAGUGGCGAACGGGUGAGUAACACGUGGGUAACCUGCCCUUGACUUUGGGAUAACUUCAGGAAACUGGGGCUAAUACCGGAUAGGAGCUCCUGCUGCAUGGUGGGGGUUGGAAAGUUUCGGCGGUUGGGGAUGGACUCGCGGCUUAUCAGCUUGUUGGUGGGGUAGUGGCUUACCAAGGCUUUGACGGGUAGCCGGCCUGAGAGGGUGACCGGCCACAUUGGGACUGAGAUACGGCCCAGACUCCUACGGGAGGCAGCAGUGGGGAAUAUUGCACAAUGGGCGGAAGCCUGAUGCAGCAACGCCGCGUGCGGGAUGACGGCCUUCGGGUUGUAAACCGCUUUCGCCUGUGACGAAGCGUGAGUGACGGUAAUGGGUAAAGAAGCACCGGCUAACUACGUG